rnacentral:rRNA from 1 species
UACGAAGGGGGCAAGCGUUAUCCGGAAUUAUUGGGCGUAAAGCGUGCGUAGGCGGUUUGUUAAGUCUGUUGUGAAAGCCCCGGGCUCAACCUGGGAAUGGCGAUGGAAACUGGCGAGCUAGAGUACGGUAGAGGAGAGUGGAAUUCCCGGUGUAGCAGUGAAAUGCGUAGAGAUCGGGAGGAACAUCAGUUGCGAAGGCGGCUCUCUGGACCAGUACUGACGCUGAGGCACGAAAGCGUGGGGAGCAAACAGG